ACGUUGAUUAUUUUCUUCUUUCACGUGGUGGUGGAUGUCAAUUUGUAAUAUUUUGUUGUUUAAUGUCAGUCGCAGUGAAAAAUCAUGAACAAAUUACCAAAUAAUUUACCACAGCUACAAAAUUUAAUCAAGAGAGACCCACUUUCAUACCAAGAUGAGUUCUUACAACAGUAUCGUCACUAUGAAUCAAAUCUCCAGAUAUUUCAACUGAAGCCAUCAACAUACUCCAAGACUCUUGAAGAGCUUGUAUUAUUUGUUGCACAGGUAGCACCUUGUUAUCCAGAGGAGGCAGCUCCAUUCCCAGAACAUCUGAGGGACUUGCUGACACAUCAUGGCGAUGCACUGGAUAGAAGCAUGAGAAUGACAUUUUGCAAGGCCCUGAUUUUGCUGAGAAACAAGAACAUGGUACAAGCUAACAGCAUCCUGGAGUUGUUUUUCAAGCUGUUCCGUUGUCAGGACAAGCUUUUAAGGAAGACAUUAUAUACCUACAUUGUCACUGAUAUAAAAAAUGUCAACAUGAAACAUAAGAAUGCCAAACUGAACUCGACACUUCAGGGAUUUAUGUAUACCAUGAUGAAGGACAACAACCCUGUAGCUGCAAAGAUGUCAUUGGAUGUAAUGAUUGAACUCUAUCGCCGAAACAUCUGGAAUGAUGCAAAAACUGUGAAUGUUAUUGCUACAGGUUGUUUCUCAAAAGUCACAAAGAUUCUGGUAGCUGCUCUGAAGUUUUUCCUUGGCCAUGAAGAUGGAGAGAAGGAUGAAUCGGACAGUGAAGAGGAUGAGCCUCCAAAGACGGAGAAAUCACUCAGACUGUCACACAGGGUCGGCAAACACACCAAGAAGAGACAGAAAAAGCUGGACCGAGCCCUGCAAGCUCUGAAAAAACACAAGAAGAAAAAGAAAACCGCAGAAGUAUUCAACAACUCUGCCUUGCAUCUUCUCCACGAUCCACAAGAUAUGUGUGAAAAGUUGUUCAGUCAGUUGGAAAAGACAACAGAGAGGUUUGAGGUGAAGCUGAUGAUGAUGGACUUGGCCUCCAGGUUAAUUGGAAUACACCAGCUGUCUGUGAUGAACUUUUAUCCAUUUGUACAGCGCUUUUUGCAGCCACACCAGAGAGAAGUGACGAAAAUUCUUUUAUUUGCUGCCCAGUCCAGUCAUGAGUUAGUUCCCCCUGAUAUAGAAAUGCGGGAGAGGUGAUGGCUGUAGGGUAAGACUUUUUCUUGUAAAGUACCACACAACUUCAUGUUCACAUCAGAAGUUUGAACUUUUCAAACAUUUUCUACAAUUUAUGAACACCAUGCCCUGAAAGGAAAUGAGCUUUUACAUAUGAACAUGUUGAAUCCUUCCGAACUGUAUCAACACUGCUUGCUUAACAGGAUGAAUGCAGUUAAAGAGAUAUGUGCACGAUGUCCUUUAGCCAUGUCCGCAGAUCUGCUCGGUGAUUUAGUUCAGUAUAAAUCUCACAAAGAUAAAGGUGUGAUGAUGAGCGCCAGGGCCUUGUUACAGCUGUACAGAAAACUCAACCCUGACCUUCUCAAUAGGAAGGACAAGGGACGACCAACAGAAGCCAUGGCAGAGACAGAACCUCUAGUGUAUGGGGGACAAGUUGCCAAGGACUUCAUCCCUGGAGCAGAAAUCCUACCAGAGGAGGCUGAACCAAAAGAGGAGAAGGAGAAAAAUGAUUGGGAGUCCUGUAGUGAUGAGUCAGAUGAGGAGGGAGAAUGGAUAGAUGUGCAUCAUUCAUCAGAUGAAGAAGCAAAAGAGGAUGAACCACAGAUCAGCAAAGAAGAAAGACUAAAGAAGGCACAGACUGUGUCCAGUAAUCGUAUUCUGACAGCAGAGGAAUUUGAGCAGAUUCAGAAGAGACAAGCACUAAAGGAGGUUGAAGGAAGACACGGGAAGAGGAAAAGGGAAGGGGGUCAGGAGGAGGAGGGUGGAGGAUUGCUGACGCUCUCUACAAUAGAAAAUGUUCACAAGAAAAGGGCACAUGACAAGGAAAGUCGAUUAUCAACAGUAAUGGCUGGAAGAGAAGGAAGGGAAAAGUUUGGGAAAAAUCAUGAAAAAAUGAAUCCGCAUGCUAGCAGUACCAACAAAGACAAGCGUAGAAAUAAGGCAUUUAUGAUGAUAAAGCACAAGGUGCAGAGGAAAAAAAUCAAGAGAUCUUUUCGUGACAAACAGAUAGCUCUACGGAACUCAUUACUAAAGAGACAGAAAGCAAAGAGAUAGCUAUUGUAUUGUUCAUAUGAAACAACAUUUGUUAUAUACACUUAAAUGUUAUUAAUGAACAUCUGUUAUAUCAAAUAAAUAAUCAAAUUUUG
rnacentral:misc_RNA from 1 species